rnacentral:Y_RNA from 1 species
GGCUGGUCCGAAGGUAGGGGUUAUCUCACUAAUUGUUCACAGUCGGUUACAGAUUGAACUCCCUAUUCUACUUUCCCCCUUUCUCACCAUUGCUCUUGACUAGUCUUUA